rnacentral:rRNA from 1 species
AUGCUGGAUCAAGGCAUCAUUCAGCCCAGCUACAGUCCGUUUGCUUCGCCAGUCCUGCUGGUUCAAAAGAAAGAUCUCUCCUGGCGAUUUUGCGUGGAUUACCGGCAGCUCAAUGCCAUCACCGUUAAGGAUCGUUUUCCCAUGCCAGUUAUUGAGGAGCUUCUUGAUGAGCUUGCGGGAUCCAAAUGGUUUACCUGCCUGGACUUGAAGGCGGGAUAUCACCAGAUUCGUAUGGCACCUGAGGAUGUUUACAAAACGGCGUUCAAAACCCACCUGGGGCACUAUGAGUUCAAAGUGUUGGCAUAUGGACUGUGCUGUGGUCCGGGAACUUUUCAAGGGGGCAUG